CCCAGAUCAGUUCAGGGUUUCAGAAAUUUUAUGGAAGUCAUAAUUUUUACCGACCGCAGGCAUGGUACCAUAGCCAAAAAUAGUUCCAUAGAAUCAUGGCUAAGUGCCGCUGGAGGACCGACCGGGAACCGCUAAGUUUUCAUGCCGAAAAUAGUUCCAGGGCAUUUGCGGCUAAGUUGCCCUGAAGUCUAUUUGUGGUUUUAGUCCAUGCGAACAAGAUGGCCACCACCUCGUGGUCGUCCAUCGGAAUAGCAGCC